AGCUUGUUGAUUGUUGAUAACAAGUAUUUUCUGCCCAGUGAAUAAAAUAAACGGCCGCGGUACUUUGACCGUGCAAAGGUAGCGUAAUCAUUUGCCCCUUUAUUGGGGGCUUGUAUGAAUGGAAUGACGAAAUUUAAGCUGUCUUUUUCUUUUUGUUGAAAAUUGCUGUUUUUGUGAAGAAGCAAAAGUAUAUAAAAAAGACAAGAAGACCCUAUUAAGCUUUACUUGUGAGUGUCUGUAGUCUGUUAUUUAAUAACUAUGCGGCUAUGUUCUGUGAGUUUGGUUGGGGUGACCAAAGAAGAGAUAAAUCUUCUUUUUUAGUAAAAACUUUUGGUUUUGUGUAAGGGGCCAGAGUGUUUCUGAGAAAAAGAAUAAGUUACUAUAGGGAUAACAGCGUAAUUUUUUCAGAGAGUUCAUAUUGAAGAAAAAGAUUGCGACCUCGAUGUUGACUUGUUGUUUCCUAUAAAUUAAAGGUGUAGCAGCUGUAAGGGUUGGUCUGUUCGACCAUUAAAGCAAC
rnacentral:rRNA from 1 species